rnacentral:rRNA from 1 species
AAUGAACGCUGGCGGCAGGCCUAACACAUGCAAGUCGAACGGAUCCUUCGGGAUUAGUGGCGGACGGGUGAGUAACGCGUGGGAACAUACCCAAGGGUACGGAAUAGCCUCGGGAAACUGGGAGUAAUACCGUAUGUGCUCGAAAGAGGAAAGAUUUAUCGCCUUUGGAUUGGCCCGCGUUGGAUUAGGUAGUUGGUGGGGUAAUGGCCUACCAAGCCGACGAUCCAUAGCUGGUUUGAGAGGAUGAUCAGCCACACUGGGACUGAGACACGGCCCAGACUCCUGAGGGAGGCAGCAGUGCGGAAUCUUAGACAAUGGGGGAAACCCUGAUCUAGCCAUGCCGCGUGAUCGAUGAAGGCCUUAGGGUUGUAAAGAUCUUUCAGGUGGGAAGAUAAUGACUGUACCACCAGAAGAAGCCCCGGCUAACUCCGUGCCAGCCGCCGCCGUAA